CCUACGGGGGGCAGCAGUGGGGAAUAUUGGACAAUGGGCGAAAGCCUGAUCCAGCCAUGCCGCGUGUGUGAAGAAGGCCUUCGGGUUGUAAAGCACUUUCAGUGGGGAAGAAAGCCUUGGGGCUAAUACCCUCGAGGAAGGACAUCACCCACAGAAGAAGCACCGGCUAACUCCGUGCCAGCAGCCGCGGUAAUACGGAGGGUGCGAGCGUUAAUCGGAAUUACUGGGCGUAAAGCGCGCGUAGGCGGUCUGAUAAGCCGGUUGUGAAAGCCCCGGGCUCAACCUGGGAACGGCAUCCGGAACUGUCAGGCUAGAGUGCAGGAGAGGAAGGUAGAAUUCCCGGUGUAGCGGUGAAAUGCGUAGAGAUCGGGAGGAAUACCAGUGGCGAAGGCGGCCUUCUGGACUGACACUGACGCUGAGGUGCGAAAGCGUGGGUAGCAAACAGGAUUAGAUACCCUAGUCGUC
rnacentral:rRNA from 1 species